UACGUAGGGUGCGAGCGUUGUCCGGAAUUAUUGGGCGUAAAGAGCUCGUAGGCGGUCUGUCGCGUCGAUCGUGAAAACUUGGGGCUUAACCCUGAGCUUGCGGUCGAUACGGGCAUGACUGGAGUUCGGCAGGGGAGACUGGAAUUCCUGGUGUAGCGGUGGAAUGCGCAGAUAUCAGGAGGAACACCGAUGGCGAAGGCAGAUCUCUGGGCCGUAACUGACGCUGAGGAGCGAAAGCGUGGGGAGCGAACAGG
rnacentral:rRNA from 1 species